CUCAGAUUGAACGCUGGCGGCAGGCUUAACACAUGCAAGUCGAACGAUGACUCUCUAGCUUGCUAGAGAUGAUUAGUGGCGGACGGGUGAGUAACAUUUAGGAAUCUGCCUAGUAGUGGGGGAUAGCUCGGGGAAACUCGAAUUAAUACCGCAUACGACCUACGGGUGAAAGGGGGCGCAAGCUCUUGCUAUUAGAUGAGCCUAAAUCAGAUUAGCUAGUUGGUGGGGUAAAGGCCCACCAAGGCGACGAUCUGUAACUGGUCUGAGAGGAUGAUCAGUCACACCGGAACUGAGACACGGUCCGGACUCCUACGGGAGGCAGCAGUGGGGAAUAUUGGACAAUGGGGGCAACCCUGAUCCAGCCAUGCCGCGUGUGUGAAGAAGGCCUUUUGGUUGUAAAGCACUUUAAGCAGGGAGGAGAGGCUAAUGGUUAAUACCCAUUAGAUUAGACGUUACCUGCAGAAUAAGCACCGGCUAACUCUGUGCCAGCAGCCGCGGUAAUACAGAGGGUGCGAGCGUUAAUCGGAAUUACUGGGCGUAAAGCGAGUGUAGGUGGCUCAUUAAGUCACAUGUGAAAUCCCCGGGCUUAACCUGGGAACUGCAUGUGAUACUGGUGGUGCUAGAAUAUGUGAGAGGGAAGUAGAAUUCCAGGUGUAGCGGUGAAAUGCGUAGAGAUCUGGAGGAAUACCGAUGGCGAAGGCAGCUUCCUGGCAUAAUAUUGACACUGAGAUUCGAAAGCGUGGGUAGCAAACAGGAUUAGAUACCCUGGUAGUCCACGCCGUAAACGAUGUCUACUAGCCGUUGGGGUCCUUGAGACUUUAGUGGCGCAGUUAACGCGAUAAGUAGACCGCCUGGAGACCCGCCUUGG
rnacentral:rRNA from 1 species